rnacentral:piRNA from 1 species
GUUGAUGGUACUGGAGAAGGACUG